ACCUAUAUUUUUUCCUUUUGUUUUUCUUUAAAAUUACUUAGUCAAAAUCGAUUAUUAUUGUCUGAUUUUUGUUGUAUUGUGUUCAUUUGCUUGAUUUCCAUUGGUUGGAGGGGGGGGGGGGGGGGGGGUGAAAGGUUUGGAUAGAGUAAAAAAAGGCUCAGAUCUGGCCGUUCAUUUGUUGAUAAGUCAUUUAAGCCAUAGAUCUGCUUUGUAAGUUCAUUUCCUGGGAAAGAUUGUUUGUCCCACAUUGAUGUUUUGAAGGUUGAAACAAUUUUUGGGUUUUUAUAAAUAGAACCCUAACCCUCUUACAAAAAUAGUUUUUGGGAGGUCGGAAAAUUUGGAAAAAUUUAAAAGGGGCUAGAAACUUUGAAUUCCAAGCCUCUUAAGUAUAAAAUUUUUAAGACUUCAACUUAGUUUGAGGUUUUCAGAGUUCUAAUUUUUUUUCUUUCUUUCUUGUUUUCGAGUCUGUGUGGCUGAGUGUAGUUUUAGAACCACAAAGGGCUUUCAAAUUCGAUUUUUACCAUGGCUGCACUUUUAAAAGUGCAGAUUGUGAUCCAGAGACUGCUACCCGAUCUCAUAUCUAGCGUUGAGGCCGUUUGCUGACAGAUUUAGGAUGAGCUUCUAUCCAUGCUAGCCCGCCCGAAGAUCUUGUUUUCUGAUGUCCACUUUCAUUCCAGACAUUUUUGGUUAUUUAGUUAGACAACAUACAUUCCUUAGACAUGUUUUGGAUUAAAGUCCUUGUAUGGCGACUCUCAGAUUUUGGGGUUGUAAUAGUUAGGACUUCCACAUUUACUUUCUUAUAUUAUGGCAUGACUAAAUUUUGAUUUA